UACGGAGGGGGCUAGCGUUGUUCGGAAUUACUGGGCGUCAAGCGCACGUAGGCGGCUUGGUCAGUUAGAGGUGAAAGCCUGGAGCUCAACUCCAGAAUUGCCUUUAAGACUGCCGAGCUAGCAGGUGAGAGAGGUGAGUGGAAUUCCGAGUGUAGAGGUGAAAUUCGUAGAUAUUCGGAAGAACACCAGUGGCGAAGGCGACUAACUGGACAUGUAUUGACGCUGAGGUGCGAAAGCGUGGGGAGCAAACAGG
rnacentral:rRNA from 1 species